rnacentral:rRNA from 1 species
CCUACGGGUGGCAGCAGUAAGGAAUAUUGGUCAAUGGACGAAAGUCUGAACCAGCCAUGCCGCGUGAAGGAUGAAGGCCCUCUGGGUUGUAAACUUCUUUUAUCUGGGACGAAAAAAGGGAAUUCUUUCUCACUUGACGGUACCAGAGGAAUAAGCACCGGCUAACUCCGUGCCAGCAGCCGCGGUAAUACGGAGGGUGCAAGCGUUAUCCGGAUUCACUGGUUUUAAAGUGUGCGUAGGUGGGAGUGUAGAAAUCUCCGGGCUUAACUCGGAAACUGCCGUUGAUACUAUAUACCUUGAAUAUCCUGGAGGUGAGCGGAAUAUGUCAUGUAGCGGUGAAAUGCUUAGAUAUGACAUAGAACACCAAUUGCGAAGGCAGCUCACUACGGGAUGAUUGACACUGAGGCACGAAAGCGUGGGGAUCAAACAGGAUUAGAUACCCCUGUAGUC